UUAAGUUCAGCGGGUAUUCCUACCUGAUCCGAGGUCAACGUUCAGAAAGUUGGGGGUUUUACGGCGUGACACGUCUGGUUUCCGGUGCGAGUGUAAGUUACUACGCAGGGGUCCCCGCGGCGGGUCGCCACUGUAUUUGGGAGCCGGCAGUGCUGCCGAUCUCCAACGGCCGACUUCCCCAAAGGGAAAUCGAGGGUUGA
rnacentral:misc_RNA from 1 species